GCCGGUUUGGCUCAGUGGAUAGAGUGUUGGCCUGCGGACUCAAGGGCCCCGGGUUCAAUUCCGGUCAAUGGCA
rfam:Myotis brandtii contig184785, whole genome shotgun sequence.